CUAAACUUGAAAAAAAGAGGAGGCACCCCCUCAGUAUUCUUAUCGUUAAUAUAUAUAUAUAUAUAUAUAUAUAUAUAUAUAUAUAUAUAUAUAUGGUGUUUUUUUUUUUUUUUGGAGGGAGGGUGUUGGUUCCCGGCUGAAGAGCACUUAUUUAAAAUACUAAAAAAAGAACAUUUUUGGGCGAUCUCCAGGGUUUUUUAACUAGCUCUGUGUGUUAUAGCAGAAGAAGCAGAAGAAGCAAGAAAGAGGAAAAGAAGAGGAUUAUUUAUUCGACCUACUUUGGAUGUCUCUCUCGCUUUCUCUUUUUCCUUUUUUUCUCAAGUAUUUUCUUCUGAUUUUUAUUUUUUUUCCUAUUUCGCUGUGAAUUCGUCGCUGGCGUGAAUUAUCUCGUAUUUUUCUCCCCCUUCCGUCACCUCCCGAAAGAAGAAGGCAGAGAGAACCCGGCGCCACCCGCACAACAAAAAGAGCAAAGUGUGUGAUCUUCCUCGCCGGCUGCCUCCCGCUCUCCAGAGCUGCCUUCCUGAAUGGCUGGCUGCGUCCGGCCCUGGACCUGGCCCCCCGACACCCGAGCGCCCUGAUCGUCGCCGGCAGCUUCGCCCUGCGUCCUGCUCGACUCUCCCAGCUCCCCGCACUCUUGAAACCGGGCGAGGGCUCCCGCCGGGACAGCGGCGGAGGCGCGGGCAGCCCCGGCCUCGGCUCGCGCUCGGGCUGCGGCCCCGACUCCAGCUCGGACUCCCGCCCGGGCCCCAGCUCCUCCAGCGGCGCUCGCAGCGGCGGCCGAGGCUGCUCCUCCGGCGGCGCCUGCAGCCGCGACCUCCUCCUCCUCCUCCUCC
rnacentral:lncRNA from 1 species